UCGCCCUGUUUAACAAAAACAUGUCUGUAUGAAGUUAAAUAGAGUCUAUUCUGCCCAUUGAAUAAUAAGUUUAAAAGGCCGCAGUAUUCUGACUGUGCAAAGGUAGCAUAAUCAUUAGUUUUUUAAUUGAAGGCUUGUAUGAAUGAUUGGACAAGAAUUAAGCUGUCUCUUUCAAUAAGAUUUGAAUUUUAUUUUUGAGUGAAAAAGCUCAAAUAAUUAAAAAAGACGAUAAGACCCUAUAAAUCUUAAUGUGAGUAAGUUUUUAAGUUUAAAUAUAAGGUUAAUUAAAUUUAAAGAACUAAAUUCAUUGUGCUGGGGCGGUAGAGAUAAAAAAAAUAAACUGUCAUUAUGAAAAACAAGUAUUUUUGUAUAGUAAAAGAUCCUGAAAUUUGGAUUAAAAGAGAAAGUUACUUUAGGGAUAACAGCAUAAUUUCUUUUGAGAGUUCAAAUCGAAAAAGAAGCUUGUGACCUCGAUGUUGAAUUAAGAGAUCCUUUAUGGUGCAGCAGCUAUGGAAGGGAGUCUGUUCGACUCUUAAAUUCUUACAUGAUCUGAGUCAAACCCGGGAG
rnacentral:rRNA from 1 species